rnacentral:tRNA from 1 species
GUCCGCGUAGCUCAGCAGGAUAGAGCGACCGCCUCCUAAGCGGCAGAUUGUUCGAUUCCUUCGAGCA